rnacentral:lncRNA from 1 species
AUCAACCCCAAUUCCCCCUAGGAUCAACCCCAACACCCUCUAGGAUCAACCCCAACACCCUCUAGGAUCAACCCCAACACCCUCUAGGAUCAACCCCAACACCCUCUAGGAUCAACCCCAACACCCUCUAGGAUCAACCCCAAUACCCUCUAGGAUCAACCCAACACCCUCUAGGAUCAACCCCAAUACCCUCUAGUGUCCUCUGUCAUGGAUCAACCCCAAUACCCUCUAGGAUCAACCCCAAUUGCCCCUAGGAUCAACCCCAACACCCUCUAGGAUCAACCCCAAUACCCCCUAGUGUCCUCUGUCAUGGAUCAACCCCAAUACCCUCUAGUGUCCUCUGUCAUGGAUCAACCCCAAUACGCCCUAGUGUCCUCUGUCAUGGAUCAACCCCAAUACCCUCUAGGAUCAACCCAACACCCUCUAGGAUCAACCCCAAUACCCUCUAGUGUCCUCUGUCAUGGAUCAACCCCAAUACCCUCUAGGAUAAACCCCAAUUGCCCCUAGGAUCAACCCCAACACCCUCUAGGAUCAACCCCAAUACCCCCUAGUGUCCUCUGUCAUGGAUCAACCCCAAUACCCUCUAGUGUCCUCUGU